UAGGCUGGACUACUUGCACUAAGGCAUGUGACGUAUUUCCGUUUCCAAAUACUACCGCUUGGGCGUUUCCGGUAUGUUUGUUUAUCUAUCGGUAGCUACGCUAAUGUCACUUCAGAAUGAGUAUAAAAAGGAAAGUAUUUAAAACAGAACAUUUUCAAAAACAGGAGAAGAAAUACUCCGAGCACUGCUGUGUCCCACUUUGUUCGGCUUCAGCCAAAUUUAACGGCACACUAAGUUUUCAUGGCUUUCCGACCCAUUCCGACUUGAGAAGACAAUGGCUGGUAAACAUACGCCGGGAUCAUUUCACGAUUACCUCUCACACCAGGGUCUGCAGCAGACACUUUGCCAGUGAUCAACUCAUAGAGCCAACAACCCUUGAUGGUCGAAGGCGGCUUAUUAAAGGUGCUGUACCAACACUUUUUGAGUGGAAUGGCUAUAAAGUUGAACCACCGCGGCGUAGUGUUUGGGAGAGAACGGAGCGACGCCCUGAACUAGUUCCUCCUGACGAUCAAGAAGAGCACAGUCUUACAAGAGAUCAUGACUACUGCUCAGUCCCUGAGCCGUCUGCAUUGGACAUAUCUGCAUCAGCUGCAAAAGACCUGUCCAAAGACGUGGAGACUCUGAGGAAGGAAAUACAGGAGUUACGUGUCCAGCGAGAAUUUGGGUUACAGCGUUUUGCUGGCUCUGACACUGACAUCCGAUUCUACACCAGAUUUCCAAGCUAUGAUCAUUUGAUGGCAUUUUGGUUUUUGAUUGAGCCUUGCAUCUACAAAAUGAUCCGGGUUUCAAGAGCCAAGUCAGCUGCCAAUAGGAACGAAGAAGUGUUGACACCUGCACGCACAUCAAUGAGGCAGCUGCUACAGCCAAUUGACGAGUUCUUUCUUUUCCUGGUUUUCCUGUCAGUUGGUUUGAAGGAGAGGGACCUGGCACACCGAUUUAACAUACACCAGUCCACAGUGAGCCGCAUUAUUGCAACAUGGACAAAUUUUCUUGCCACUGCACUGGGGUCUCAAUGCAUCUGGCUUACACGUGAAGAAGUGCAAGCUUACCUCCCUGAGGAAUUCAAAGAUUUCUCAGACACCCAGAUGAUCCUUGACUGUACAGAGCUGAGGUGUCAGACACCAUCCUCACCACUUCUCCAAAGUGAAAUGUACUCUUCGUACAAAUCCCACUGUACGAUGAAAGCCCUGGUUGGCAUAGCUCCACAUGGUCCAGUGACAUUCAUUUCUAAUCUGUAUGCUGGUUCGGUUAGUGACAAGGAACUAUUCAAACAAUCAGGCAUUGCUGAGAAGUUGACUGAAGACAUGGCAGUGAUGGUAGAUAAGGGCUUCCUAAUCACCGAUUGUUGUAAAUGCAAAGUGUACUGCCCACCUUUUCUAUCUAAGCAGAAGCAGAUGCCAGCAUACCAGGUUAAGGAGACGCAGGCCAUAGCCAGACUCAGGGUACAUGUGGAGCAAGUCAUUAGGAGGAUAAAACAGAACAAACUUUUUGAUAGCAUUAUUACCAUGUCACAUGUUUACAAUAUCAACCAACUGUUUGCAGUAGCAUGCAUGCUGUCAAAUUACCAGAACACAGCAUUAGUUAAAAAAUGGGUUAAGUGAGACAAGAUGGACUUUUCCCAAGACACCAGUGCCAGUACAAGGAACUUAUGGAAAAUGACCUGCAGCUGAGGCCACUACAGUUGCAUUUCUUCCUUGACAAAACUUGAUUACAGAACUGGUACUUGAGUGCUGAUAGUUGAGUUCCAGUUAUUGAUAAUUCUAAUUCAUUGCAAAUGUUGAAUGUUAAUAAUACUGUUGAAUUAUACUACUAUAUUACUAUUCAUAUUCAACAAAAUUGUUUAUCAAAAUUAUAAAGUAAAUCAUUUUAAAAUCAUAAGUGACAUUGUGCUUUUGUAACAUCCAAAAUACCAUUUGUCAUUUUCUUCCCUCAGUUGUGUUAUUGUCUAAAUGUAUGUCAGUAUGCUAGGCAUGGAUUUUUAAAUACUUACCAUGUAAAUAAGUUCUGCACAAAUUCAAUGUUUUAAUGUGUGUUUUUAAAAAAUGAAAUUGAUGCCAUUGCUUAAAUAACAGUUUAUUGAUUUCACAUAAAAGUAACAUGUAACAACAAAAAAAUUCAUGAAAUACUUUGCAAAUAAAACAUCAGUUAUUUUGUUCCA